GGAAACCUAGACAAGUAUAACGGAGUUUGGGGCGGUCACCGAGAUUACACAUCUGGUGUGACACCAUGAUGACAUCUGAGCUCAUACACUCCGGCUAUACGGCUACCACAGAGAGGACACAAUAUUCCAGAAUCCUGCAGGAAAGACUCCGCCAUCCUCUGCAGCUGCUCCCACCACAGUGCUCCCCACCACUGGAAAAGAUACCCUCACUGACUGGGGUGUUGGGCUAGCAGACACAUCAUCAAGCUGGGAGGCAGAGCACUGGCGGCACCACGGGAAGCACAUGGGCCUUUGCUCUGCAUCCUCCUCUCACGGUCUCAGCCCCUGCAGCAGAGCACCAAUCCUUCCUGCCUUGGGACUCCCAGUCUGUGCUGCAAAAGCAACGCACUCGUCAGGGUUCUUGUUGCAACCAAAACAACUACCUCUGGCCAUCGUAAGUACAAAGCAUUCACUGGUAGGACACUGUUGAUGGGACAAGGGUCACAGCACUAAGAACUCAGAAGGCUGCUAGAACUCCAGAAAUUCCGGAAGGUCAGCAGGAGGCAGCACAGCCUUCUCUUUGCAUGAAAAGUUUGUCCAGGGUUCUAGUAUUGGACAAGACAGUCACUAUGAAUGGAUUCAAAGAAUUGCUUUGCGGUGUAUGAGUCAAAGAUCCACGUGGGAGCAUCCCAUAGAGUAGGGACAGGUCCAGCGCCUGAGUUCGGACCACCAAGGAGCAGGGAGUGAGGGUUUACCUGCAUUUCAGCUUUGGUAGGGGAAGGAUCAGCGCUACAUCCGCUAAUACACACCUUGGGGAGUCUGCC
rnacentral:lncRNA from 13 species